rnacentral:rRNA from 1 species
AGAGCGAACGCUGGCGGCAGGCUUAACACAUGCAAGUCGAGCGGGCGUAGCAAUACGUCAGCGGCAGACGGGUGAGUAACGCGUGGGAACGUACCUUUUGGUUCGGAACAACACAGGGAAACUUGUGCUAAUACCGGAUAAGCCCUUACGGGGAAAGAUUUAUCGCCAAAAGAUCGGCCCGCGUCUGAUUAGCUAGUUGGUGAGGUAACGGCUCACCAAGGCGACGAUCAGUAGCUGGUCUGAGAGGAUGAUCAGCCACAUUGGGACUGAGACACGGCCCAAACUCCUACGGGAGGCAGCAGUGGGAAUAUUGGACAAUGGGCGCAAGCCUGAUCCAGCCAUGCCGCGUGAGUGAUGAAGGCCCUAGGGUUGUAAAGCUCUUUUGUGCGGGAAGAUAAUGACGGUACCGCAAGAAUAAGCUCCGGCUAACUUCGUGCCAGCAGCCGC